CGCUCCUCGGUAACUGGCUGAGGGAGUGACGAGCACGCUCUACCGGAGACAAGGAGGAGCUCCCCUGCGGGUGUUCCUCCCAGGGCGCAGAGUUUUACUGGUAUUAAAUAUGUGAAAGUUCUGGCCAUCUAUUUUCAGUCUGGCCUGUGAUCACAGAUUUGGUACUUCUGAAUGUGGGGAUUGGAUGGAUCAUGGCUGAUCGUGAAAGUUAAGAGUUUUUGAUUCCCAAUUCCAAGUUUGAUCUCCUGUUUUGCUAAAGCACAUUCUCCAAGAGGGGUUGCAAGGCAGUUCUACCAUAUUAAAGGUAUCUUUUAUUCUGCUUUUGGGUUGGGUUUAGUUUUAAAAAAAUUCUUCUAGAAUUUUGAAGUCAUUCUCCAUUUUCUUCUUACAUCCAGUGUUGUAGAGAAAUCUCAUGCUAUUCUGGUUCUCUGAUAUUUCCCUUCUCUCCAAGUCUCACUUGUCCUUAAAUUUUACAUUCAUUAUUUUUUAUUUUAUUCAACUGUCCUCUUGAUAAUAUCCUGGUAUUUUAUCUAAGCCACUGUUGAUUUGCAGUGGCCAUCUAAUUGAUCUGUCUCCAUGUGCCACUGAUUGUUUUCAAUAUGGUGUUCUUUUAAAACUCAAGUUUUACUGUAUUAUUUUUCUGUACAAAACCCCCUUGGUUUCCCACCACAGAGUAGAAGACCUCAUGUGAUUUGGCCCUCAUGUUUUUCUCCACUCUAGUUUUUGCUCUCUCCUUUCCUACAUACUGUUCUUUUUUCUGUUGUUACCUUUCAGUUGACUACUGUGUGUAAAAUUUGUUCAGCUCUUAUAUGUUCAUUCAUCCUUUUCUGCUUUUAUUUUUCUCCAUAGCACCCC